rnacentral:rRNA from 1 species
UACGUAGGGGGCAAGCGUUGUCCGGAUUUAUUGGGCGUAAAGAGCGUGUAGGCGGCCAGGUAGGUCGGUUGUGAAAACUGGAGGCUCAACCUUCAGAGGUCGACCGAAACCAUCUGGCUAGAGUCCGGGAGAGGAGAGUGGAAUUCCUGGUGUAGCGGUGAAAUGCGCAGAUAUCAGGAAGAACACCCGUGGCGAAAGCGGCUCUCUGGAACGGUACUGACGCUGAGACGCGAAAGCGUGGGGAGCGAGCAGG